rnacentral:rRNA from 1 species
GAUGAACGCUGGCGGCGUGCCUAAUACAUGCAAGUCGAGCGAACGGACGAGGAGCUUGCUCUUCUGACGUUAGCGGCGGACGGGUGAGUAACACGUGGAUAACCUACCUAUAAGACUGGGAUAACUUCGGGAAACCGGAGCUAAUACCGGAUAAUAUUUUGAACCGCAUGGUUCAAAAGUGAAAGACGGUUUUGCUGUCACUUAUAGAUGGAUCCGCGCUGCAUUAGCUAGUUGGUAAGGUAACGGCUUACCAAGGCAACGAUGCGUAGCCGACCUGAGAGGGUGAUCGGCCACACUGGAACUGAGACACGGUCCAGACUCCUACGGGAGGCAGCAGUAGGGAAUCUUCCGCAAUGGGCGAAAGCCUGACGGAGCAACGCCGCGUGAGUGAUGAAGGUCUUCGGAUCGUAAAACUCUGUUAUUAGGGAAGAACAAAUGUGUAAGUAACUAUGCACAUCUUGACGGUACCUAAUCAGAAAGCCACGGCUAACUACGUG